rnacentral:lncRNA from 1 species
AGGACUAGAAUGAGGCAGCAGCCAAGGCCAAAUCCUGUGGCCUAGAAGAGGGACAGUCCAAUGGAAUUUUGCCUCAUUAUGAAGACAGUUGGAUCCAGUGACAAUAUUAGCUAAUGUCUACUAAGCCCUUAAUGAAGCUGGUGGUCUAGAUGGUCUAAGGUGCCUUAACUAAUUUAGUCUCCAACAACAACCUUAUGAGAUAGACACUACCACCCUUUGACAGUUAAGGAAAUGGAGGCACAGAGGUUUUAAAAGACCUGCCCUUCUAGCAAGCAGCGGAGCUGUGACAUAUACUCUAAGCCACAACACCUCUCAGAAGUCAGUGUACCAGGCUGAAGCAGCUUAGCUGGAGGGUGGGGACCCAGGGAUCAGCAAACGCUCCUGCCCUGGGGAUUCUCAUGUGAGCUUUUUCCCAGACUUAAGUGCUCAAUUUGCAUAAACGGUAGCAGAGAAUGUAAAAAGCAACCACUUGUCCAAAACUGUGCAGCCACCCAGGAGGGCUGUGACCUGCCUCUCUGGACUCACACCCUCACAUCCUGUCUCCCCUGCGUCCCUGGCCUGCCUGUCCAACUACUAAGCCUCGGGGUCCAAAUAUUUUCUUGACUUCCUGCCCUUCUCCCUUCCUUCUGACUGUCAAAAUCUGUCAAGACUCAGCCCAAAUCUCACCUCUUCCAGAAAUCCCUCACAGACAUCCCUGAUUGGAACAAUCUGUCCCCAGUCCAUCCACUGAGACGUGAGGCUCUUUCAACUGAGGCCUGGGGUCACUUCUCAGUGGGUCUGUCUCCUGGGGGCAUAAAACCACAAGGCUUGCUAAGUAAGGGGCUGACACCCAUCCAUGGUUAAGCAGGUCCUUAGGGGGUUAUGAGGACAUCUCUCUUCACUGACUUGAAAAAUCUUAGGCGGCCGAGCGUGGUGGCUCACACCUGUAAUCCCAGCAUUUUGGGAGGCUGAGGUGGGUGGAUCACUUCAGGUCAGGAGUUCAAGACCAGCCUGGCCAACAUGGUGAAACCCCAUCUCUAAUAAAAAUGCAAAAAUUAGCUGGGCAUGAUGGUGUCUGCCUCCCGGGUUUAAGCAAUUCUCCUACCUCAACCUCCUGAGCAGCUGGGAUUACAGGCGCCUGCCACCACACCCUGCUAAUUUUUGUAUUUUUAGUAGAGACAGGGUUUCAGGGUAAUCCUGAAUCCCAGCUACUCAGGAGGCUAAGGCAGAAUCACUUGAACACAGGAGCAGAGGUCGCGCCCCUGCACUCCCGCCUGGGUGACAGAGCAAGACUCAGUCUCAAAGAAAAGAAAAGAAAAAUCUUAGGCUUGGAGAUUCACAUAAAUUCUAUUUAAAAAGCAAGAUGGGCUGGGCAAGGUGGCUCACACCUGUAAUUCCAAUGAUUUGGGAGGCUGAGGCGGGAGGAUUGCUUGAGCCCAAAAGGUCCAGGCUGCAGUGAACUGUGAUCAUGCCACCACGCUCCCACCUGGGCAACGGAGUGAGACUCAGAAAAAAACAAAACAAAACAAAAAAAA